UUUAUAGCAGAGGCUGAGUUCAUUAGGAACCCAGAUUUACUUUAAUUCUCUUGAUCACCAUUUCUAUGUACUGAGAACAGUACUGAUAUAAGAUUCACUUUGCAUCAAGACUUUUUUCGAGAGAAGAAAGAUGUAGUUGAAGAACUUGAGGAAAUCUUAAGUUGGAGUGGAGUAGACCAAACGGAGAAGAUGAGGAACUAAAGCUGAUUAGAAGAGCACAUAGUGCUAAUAAACACCCAAGGAUUACAGAACGCCAAAGGCUGAAAUUCCGAGCUUACUUUGUGUAGAAAAAAGAUUUGCAAAGUUUUUGUUCUCAGAAUAAGUCUGUAAUGUUGUUUGGUUUCUGUACUGUUGUUUGCAUCAAUUAUUAAAAAGCAUGGUCUGCUCUUUGAUAUCUCAUUUACCAACACAAAUUUUCAAUCAGUCUAAAAUAUUUUUAGCACAUCACAUGAUCUAAAUUCCGCAGUCUCCCUUAAGGCCUUAGCCAACACAAAGCUCUGCUUGUACUCCAAUUUCAUUCCUGCAACACCGACAAGGCAACAACCACUUCUCUGGACCGGGUAACAUUCUCAUCUCCUCUCUCUCUGUGCUGAUUCUUAUUAAUCCAUAAAUUUAAUAAUAGGUUUGGGUAUUUUCGUCCGGAGUGGAGUAAUAUUUUAUAAGAUAACUAGGGUUUAAUUAACAUAGUAUCUAGAAGUUAGUUGUAGGAGAAGUAAUCUCAACCAACGGCUGCUAUAUAAACCCUAACCACAAAUAUUUUCACAUAUGCAACUAUCUUGGUGACAAGGAGUAGUGGUGUUAAUUAGCAUGGUAUAUAGAAAACCAAGUUUAAGUCGUCGUCGUCUUCUUCUUCGAGCUCAAACUUUUGGUUAAAAAGGUAUGGAGUUGGACCAGCAGGAAACUGAGGAAAAUAUGGAGUGCCGGGACCAGCAGGAAACUGCUGCUGCUCGUACGGUUGAAGAUAUUAUGGAGUACUGGGACCAGCAGGACACUGCUGCUGCUGUUAGAGAUAUGGAGUGCUUAGACAAGUGGGGAACUGCUGAAGAGAUGGAGUUGGAGAUUUAAGGAACAAAUCUCUUCUGGAGGUAACCAUGCUUGAGCAGCAGAUGAUAUUGUUGCUAUCGCACGGUGAUAGUAGCUUGUGGGUGAACGAUGUAAUAUAAAGCACCAUAUACCUUUUCUACUAAGAUUAACAUUAUUGACACGGCAUUGAUAUCAUGCGGGAAUAUCAAGGAGGAUUAAUCAAAUUUUAGAAAUAAGUCCAGAACUCUAUCUAAGCUCACGUGUGCCUAUGUUCGGAACAAUGUAUUCAAUACUUCCAUAUUCCAUGUCAGUUGCAGAAAAAAAGUCUUUGCAGAUACUGGAUGAAACAACUCCAUCAGUGGCUGCUCAAUGAUAGCCAUCUCCACGCGCUGAAGUUCUAAUAGCCUCGACAGACAGACAGACAGACAGACAGACAGACAGACAGACAGACAGACACGCAAGUCAGUGGCAAGGAACAUGCCAACCGGAAAGAGCAAACAAUGAGGCUUUUGCUCAUAUAAUUGCUCAAUCUGAGACAAUCAGAGGAACAAGACAAGAUGGGAAUUUAUUUCAAGCUAUUUAAUUGUGGUAACUUGUGUUUUUCGAUAACUAAAACAAAGCAGCGGAGCCAAGAAGUUUAAACAUAGCUAAGCUACUAAAAAUAGCCUUUCUGGAAAUUCCACAGAUGCCCCUGACUCUGGGACCGUCAGGAAACUGCUGCUGGAGAUAUAGAGCGCUUGGACCAGCGGGAAACUGCUGCUACUGCCGAAGAUAUGUCACAUUUCAGAAAAAGAGAAAAAAGAACUACUUGCUUGAAAGAUUGUGUUAAAUGGGGGCGAAAGUCUAUGUUGUUCAUUGUUGAUGGCAUCUCUCUCGUGAUUAAAUCUGAACGGGAAAUGCUUGAGGUGACUGUUGAAAACUUUGAAACAAACCGUUUUAACGGGAUGGCAGAGUAUCUCGGACUUUUUUGUCAUCGAGUUAAGCAAGAAAUUAAUAGUCGAUAAAAUGGCUGCAGAUAUGCUAGCUUUUUACAUACGGCCACAAGGGUAAAAAGAAAAGAAGGCGCUGCAGUGUUGAGCAUGUAAAAUUUCUACUGCAUCAGUUGGUGAGGAUAUCCUUUACAUACACAAUUGGGGAAAAUCCAUCAAAGCUGGAGGCGACUGAUAUACUAUUCAAUUUGCAUCAAGACUUUUUGCCAGGGAAGCAGGAUGUUUUUAGAAAACCUGCGAGAACCUUGUGUUGGACUGGAAAAAACCACAAGGAGAAGUUGAAGAAAGACGAACAACUAAAGCCAAUAGACAACGAAAGAUUUCGAAAAGCCGAAGGCUGAAAGUCCGAGCUUACUUUGUGUAGACCAAAAAAUUGAGCUGGCAAAAACCAGAGAAUUUCUGCAAAGAAGAUCAUACACGACAAUAUCCAAGGCAUAAACCGUCCUGCCAACACAACAAUGUUUAACUUCUCAAUCUAUUCAUCUCUUAAUUGA